ensembl:lincRNA
CUCCUUUCUUCCAUCCUUUCUUCCUUCCAAACAUUCUCUAGAGGUGUUUCUUGUUUUUCUUUUUUCUUUUUUAAAUUAAAUUAAACUUUAUUUUAAAUAGGCUCUACACCCAGCAUGAAGCCCAACGUGGGGCUUGAACUCAUGGCCCCAAGAUCAAGACCUGAGGUGAGACCAAAAAUUGGACACUUAAUCGACUGAAAUACCCUGUUGUUGUUUAAAAACAAGUCCAUGGGGGGUCCAGCUGGCUUAGUAGGAGGAACAUGCAUGAGUUCAAGCCCUACACUGAGUGUAGAGAUCACUUAAACAUGUAAAUAAAGUAAAACUUAAAACAACAACAACAACAACAAAAACAAGUCCUAUAGAGGGCAGAUCAUGUGACCUGGGUUUAAGUCCUGCCCUUGAAGUUAACGUGUGCAAAUGUCAACGUCUUGAUGUUAAUGUCUGGAUCCCGUGCUCUAUCUCUGCCAUUUGUUUCUCCAGAUUUACCUCAUCCUUCCUUGGUCUGCACUCUGGAUGCUGAUCUUCAGGGUUCACAUCCAUAGGCUCUCAUCCCUCUGGAUCCCAUGCGUGUUCGUCCCGCGGGAGGCCUAGCGGGACAUCAGAAGGUGCUCACAAUGGGCGAAGAGGAGGGACUGAUCCGUGGAAUUCAUGUGAAUCAUUCCUGGACAAACAAACUUCAGGGAGCAAACAGCGUCCGCUUUGGCCACUUCCCUGGCACCAGCCACUCCCUGACCCUCUUGGGCACACAGCCUGCCAAUCCAGCCAGCAAACCAUCCACUCCCGUUUGCCUGCUGCGCUCAGCCCGGCCCUAUCAGGUCUGUAACUCUCUGCAAACACCCUGUACUUUGCUUUUCUCUGCAGGGCUGCCCUUGGCUAAUCAUCUGCUUGCCAAAUUCCUGAGGGCGGGGUCUGGACCAUAAGUGUGUGGCGUGUCCCUGAGAUCUGCAUAAGGGCCAGUUCACUAGCUGGUGCAAACAAAAGCAAACAAAGCAGGGACCUCUCCUGCUGAGUCUGCAGGACCACACAGCAGCCCAGGCGAUGUCUUUUCCUUCCUUCUUCCUUUUCUCCCCUGCCCUGGGAGAUUCCCUCUUUACAAUCAUUGCUACCCAAAUGGAGGUAGGGGAGACUUCUGAGAUGCGGAGCCAUGGUUGUUGUUGUGGGGUUUUUUUUGUCUUGAGCUGGAAAUGGUUACACAGGUGUGUUUACUUUCUGUGAAAAUUACUUGCGUGCAUUCCUCUGUGGAUAAGUUAUACGUCAAUAAAAAGCUUAUUUUUAAAAAGAUCAUUGCUACCCUCUCCUGCCCCACGGUUCCCCAAUACUCCCUCAAUACUCCCACAAACUCAUCCAGAGACCCUUCUCAUCUCAGAGUUUCUGACAGAAGCCUGCCCAGCAGAGACAGGGUAACACAGAUGAAGUAAUAAUGGCAGUGGCCCAAGUCUUGGGACCUCCUGAGUCCUGGGGUCCCUGCUUCUGGUGAGCAGACACCCCCCGCCCCCAUCCUGAGAGCUCGUGAAGCCCUGAAGGCCUCUCUCUGGUACAGUCUGAGUGAGAGCUUGGAUACCCUCCUACUCCUCCCUGAUCCCUUUUUUAGGGCAUGCCAGCAGCCUCUAGCCCAGAGGGGGCUAGUUUGCUACUGCUUGCUGUCACUAAGAAGAGCACCUCCCAUGCCUUGUACUCAGGACCUCUGCACUUAGGUUCCUGGAAAGGAAUGAUCUGCACCCCAUCCAGCUCCCCAUUCACUGGCUGUCUGCCCCAGUGUGUGCACUCCAGCUGGUGCCCACCUUCUCAUACUGCCCCAGGACACCUUAAUCCAAAGAAGGGGAUACUGUGCACAUCUAGUAAGGGGUGGGAGCAGAACUUCCUGCAGCUUAACCCAGCAGGAGUGUCAGCCUGAGCUUCUGGUGACAAGUUCCAGCUCCUUAAACAGCAAGGGAACUUCCUAGAAGGCUGUCAACGUUCUCUGAGUUGGGGCAGGAGUUAUGCCGCCCCCAUCACACACAUAUCCGCCAGUAAGAUUUGAAGCAUACCAUUCUAAUGAUUGAUUUGAACACAAAUGCCCCCCCCUUUUUCUAUCCAGGAUCGUGAGGAUAUCCCCCAAGGGCUGUGCAGGACCCACAUCUGUAAUGACCACAUGCCUUUGUGUUGUAUGAAUGUAUCCUAAAUCUAUCAAGCCACAUUUCAUCUCUUCCUUCUUUCUUUUUUUCUCCUUUACUAUAAAUAGCACUGCAACAAGCAUCCUUUACAUCUAAGAACUGGGCAAGGAAUAUGCACUUUUUGAGGAUCUGUUGCCAACUGAUUACGGAGGCUGUGCCCACCAUCCAGGCACACACCGUUUUGCCCCAAGUUCAGAGUCAACCCUGCAGACCCCAAAGCUAAGCAUGCGAGUGGCUUUGCAGGUAGGGCCUGACCCUCAGGUAGGUCCCCUCCACUGCCCGUGGCUUCCUGGGAUCCAGAGCAGAAGCACUGAUUUUUUUUCUGGGUUGGUUGGAAAUACCAGUUAAAGAGCUCACACACCACCCCUCUUCUGCUCCACGUUCUCUUUUCUUUCUCCUGCUUCUCCUCUUUCUCGCUUUCCCUUCCUUUUCCAUCUCUCCUUCCUUUUGUUUGCUCCUUCUCCCUCCAGCCUCCACUCUGUGUCUCCCUCUGACUUGGGGCUUCUUUCUCUCUGCCUCUUUUCCCUCUGCUUCCUCUGCCUCUCUACAGUUUUCCCUCACCUUUUCAUCUUCCUCCUGGAACUCAGCCUUGUCUCUGUCUCUUUUCUCUUUCCCCUCCGUGGUUCUCUGUCCUCCACCCACCACUCCUGCUGGCUGAGUCAUAAUUUCCCCUGUGGGUGGGAGGAAUAAAGCAGCCUUUUCCCUGAUAGGUCUUGAUGUGAAGGAGCAGUGAGUUUGCCUCCCACAAGGGCAAAGCUAACCGAUCCCUGAGUGGGGAGCUGCCUGGUAAACCAGUGUGACUCAGGACUUCCAAGUUGGGAGAGGGGCUGUCCAUCAGUCAAGCUUCCCUUGGACUCUUUGGCAUCAUGGGGGCCAGCAUGCUGUGUCUGAUGACUCACUGGGACAGCCUUGGCAUGGUGGCAGCGGGAUGUGGGGAGGGGUGCUGGAGUUUAUGAUGUUGCCCCUGGGAGGACACCCCCUCUCUGCAGGCAGCCAAGGGAUGGAUGCUGGGGCCCUACAAUCAUGUUCAUCAUUGCAUGGCUUCACAUCAUAAUGGUCAGAUAGGAUAUUUAUAACAACUCAGGUUGCUGGGCCCUAAUUCAUCUUUAUUAAACCAGAAUAACUAAGGAUAGGAGUCAGGAAUCUUCAUGUUAAAGAUACUUGAUGCAAAAGCUGGUAGUAUCUAUUAGACUUGUAAAUGCACACACCCUAUAUUCCAGCAGCCACUCCUGGGACUUUCUUCUAACAAAAUAUUCCCACAUGUAUUGUGCACGAGGAUUUUUUUUUUCAGCAUUGUUUGUAUUAUCAAACAAUUGGGAACACCCUGAAUGUAAUGUCCAUUAGUCGACAAUGUUUAAAUAAAAGAUGAUGUCUCGGGGCACCUGGGUGGCUCAGUGGGUUAAGCUGCUGCCUUCAGAUCGGGUCGUGAUCCCAGAGUCCUGGGAUC